rnacentral:rRNA from 1 species
CCUACGGGGGGCAGCAGUGGGGAAUAUUGGACAAUGGGGGCAACCCUGAUCCAGCCAUGCCGCGUGUGUGAAGAAGGCCCUCGGGUUGUAAAGCACUUUCAGUGAGGAAGAACGCCUGGUGGUGAAUACCCAUCAGGAAAGACAUCACUCACAGAAGAAGCACCGGCUAACUCCGUGCCAGCAGCCGCGGUAAUACGGAGGGUGCGAGCGUUAAUCGGAAUUACUGGGCGUAAAGCGCGCGUAGGUGGCUUGAUAAGCCGGUUGUGAAAGCCCCGGGCUCAACCUGGGAACGGCAUCCGGAACUGUCAAGCUAGAGUGCAGGGGAGGAAGGUAGAAUUCCCGGUGUAGCGGUGAAAGGCGUAGAGAUCGGGAGGAAUACCAGUGGCGAAGGCGGCCUUCUGGACUGACACUGACACUGAGGUGCGAAAGCGUGGGUAGCAAACAGGAUUAGAUACCCCGGUAGUC